rnacentral:tRNA from 1 species
GCCCGAGUGAUGCAACUGGCUGACAUGGCGGAUUCAAAACCCGCUGCCGAAAGGCGUGCGGGUUCGAAUCCCGCCUCGGGCA